GACGAACGCUGGCGGCGUGCCUAAUACAUGCAAGUCGAGCGGACUUUCAAGAAGCUUGCUUUUUGAAAGUUAGCGGCGGACGGGUGAAUAACACGUGGGCAACCUGCCUGUAAGGCGGGGAUAACUCCGGGAAACCGGGGCUAAUACCGGAUAAUAUCUUUCUUCGCAUGAAGGAAGGUUGAAAGGCGGCGCAAGCUGCCGCUUGCAGAUGGGCCCGCGGCGCAUUAGCUAGUUGGUGAGGUAACGGCUCACCAAGGCGACGAGGCGUAGCCGACCUGAGAGGGUGAUCGGCCACACUGGGACUGAGACACGGCCCAGACUCCUACGGGAGGCAGCAGUAGGGAAUCUUCCGCAAUGGACGAAAGUCUGACGGAGCAACGCCGCGUGAGCGAAGAAGGUCUUCGGAUCGUAAAGCUCUGUUGUCAGGGAAGAACAAGUACCGUUCGAAUAGGGCGGUACCUUGACGGUACCUGACCAGAAAGCCACGGCUAACUACGUGCCAGCCGCCGCCGUAA
rnacentral:rRNA from 1 species